GAAAAUUUUGGAGAUAUAUUUUGGAGCAUCAGGAUGAAGAUAAAAUAAAUCAAGACUCUUCCAUAGGCGUUUUAGAAUUAGUUGUAUUUUAAUUUAGUAGUUAGAAUUUUUAGACAAACUUUGACAUUGUGGGCCAAUUUUUGGUAAUUGUUGUUGAGCCCAAUAAUAAAAAAUAGACAUAUGUCAUACUCUAGGGUUAUUGGGUGGACCC
rnacentral:lncRNA from 1 species